AUGGUUCCAGGGGUUUUAUUGUUGUUGGCAUUCUAUCACUUGUUCUGUUGGGGGAGGAGGAAUUAUAUGUUCUCUGCUCUGAAUUCUCGGUGGCCUAACGCUAUUCUGUUCCAAAGUGUUGAACAAUGGGAGUUUGGGGGCCUGCUGGUUAACAAUUUCAGAUUCAAUGGACUACAGCAGGGAUCAGCAACUACAGCCCAUGAGCCAAAUCCUGUCAGUCCUCUGUUUGUUUUAAUAAAGUUUUAUUGGAUCAGAGCCAUUUCAUCUAUGACUUAAGUAGUUACAGCGGAGACCACCUGGCCUGCAAAACCUGAAAUACUUAUUAUUUGGACUUUACAGAAAGUUUGUCAAUCUCUGAAUUAGACUAUAAGAAAGAUCAAAAGGAAAUGAGAUCAUGAGUGGGGGAGGGGUUAGAUGCUUAACCGACUGAACCAUCUAGGUGCCCCUUUUCAAAGCAUUCUGGUUUUAAAUUCAUAGUGAUGGAUGGAAAUUGUCAAAGAAUUCCAUAAUAUAUUAGCUUGCCUAAAGGGCUUAUUUCAUUUUGGUUUUAAUGUUAGGUCUCUAUAAACAAUAAAUGUAUUUCUCUGUUUUUCUUUUAACCCUAC
rnacentral:lncRNA from 12 species